AUCCUUUUGUAGUUCAUGAGCAUGAUGAUUGGGUGUUCACGCUGCUGCGUGACAUGUGCCUCCCCGCAAACCUUGUUACGACACCGGGACAUUACCCGUCUGACG
ensembl:snoRNA